UGUCCUUUUUACCUCCAAAAAC
rnacentral:snRNA from 1 species